rnacentral:rRNA from 1 species
UUGUGAACAUACCUACAACUGUUGCUUCGGCGGGUAGGCCGUCCCCUGAAAAGGACGCCUCCCGGCCCGGACCGGACCCCCCGCGGGACCGGACCCGGCGCCCGCCGGAGGAUAACCAAACUCUAUUGUAACGACGUUUCUUCUGAGUGGCAUAAGCAAAAUAAUCAAAACUUUUAACAACGGAUCUCUUGGUUCUGGCAUCGAUGAAGAACGCAGCGAAAUGCGAUAAGUAAUGUGAAUUGCAGAAUUCAGUGAAUCAUCGAAUCUUUGAACGCACAUUGCGCCCGCCAGCAUUCUGGCGGGCAUGCCUGUUCGAGCGUCAUUUCAACCCUCAAGCUCUGCUUGGUGUUGGGGCUCUACGGUCGACGUAGGCCCUCAAAGGUAGUGGCGGACCCUCCCGGAGCCUCCUUUGCGUAGUAACAUUUCGUCUCGCACUGGGAUCCGGAGGGACUCUUGCCGUAAAACCCCCCAAUUUUCCAAAGGUUGACCUCGGAUCAGGUAGGAAUACCCGCUGAACUUAAGCAUACAUU